AUUUUGGUAAAGGACCUUUUAUGAGCUAAUGAAAUCUUAUAAAAAUAGAUAAAUGGGUGUUUUUGGGCAAACGAUUUUGCACUUUAUCUUAGGGAAAAACAAUAUGUCCGAGCAUCUGUCAAACAUUCCUAAACCUGACAUAAGAACAUAUAUUCGAUCUUGAUUUCUAGGCCGCAUGGUCAAGUUGAUGCAGAAAAUGUAAAAAUGUAAAUUGAUUCAUCGCUUGUUAAUGCAAAAAAAAACAACAACAAACUCUGACUUUUUCCAUGCCCAUUCCCAUUCUCAAUUUAAUUACUAGUAGUAUAAUGAACUAGCUGGUUGACUCGUGAUAUUGUCGCAAUUUAGAAAUAAGAUGAUUAUGCUUAAGAAUAAUUUCAUGUUUAAAUGAAAAAUGGUCGUCGUUACGUAUAUCGCCGGUGUAAGAAUGUUACAUAUGUACUUAGUCUAGUUUUAAUGUGACCGUAGCUCUAUUCGCUCGCUUUAUUGUUUCAUUGUUAUCCAAUCGAUAGGAAAAUUGUAAUGAACUUUAUUGUAUA
rnacentral:lncRNA from 1 species